rnacentral:rRNA from 1 species
AGCGAACGCUGGCGGCAGGCUUAACACAUGCGAGUCGAGCGGGCACUUUCGGGUGUCAGCGGCGGACGGGUGAGUAACGCGUGGGAACGUGCCCUCUGGUUCGGAAUAACUCAGGGAAACUUGAGCUAAUACCGGAUACGCCCUUUUGGGGAAAGGCUUGCUGCCGGAGGAUCGGCCCGCGUCUGAUUAGCUAGUUGGUGAGGUAACGGCUCACCAAGGCGACGAUCAGUAGCUGGCCUGAGAGGAUGAUCAGCCACACUGGGACUGAGACACGGCCCAGACUCCUACGGGAGGCAGCAGUGGGGAAUAUUGGACAAUGGGCGCAAGCCUGAUCCAGCCAUGCCGCGUGAGUGAUGAAGGCCUUAGGGUUGUAAAGCUCUUUUAUCCGGGACGAUAAUGACGGUACCGGAGGAAUAAGCCCCGGCUAACUUCGUG